GGAAAGGUGUCCGAGUGGCUAAAGGAGGCAGACUGUAAAUCUGUUAGCUUAUGCUUACGAUGGUUCGAAUCCAUCCCUUUCCA
rnacentral:tRNA from 1 species